GCCAAUGGUUUUACCCAAGGCUCUGUUACAAAAUUCGGGAUUAAAUCCACCUCGAUCCUUGACCUUGAAUUUCAUGGCCCCGCAUAAUAAUCAAGGGCCGCAACCCCUCGGUGACAGGCCUGUUUUUUGAAAGGCAAACCUCUUCACCCAAAUUGUAAUAGAUUAUACAAUAUGCAAAGGCUUAAAAGGUAAAACACAGAAAGGAUAAAAUAGAACCCAACUGUCCAAUCGCAGGAAAAAAAAUGGGAUUUGCUCAAUCAGUUGAAUAAUCCGUUAAAUCUUAGCUUCGUAAAAGAUGCUGAUGAUCGAACCUUCCGCCACCGCAGCCGUCCGUUUCUCCGCCUUAAACUUCGAUUCUUCCACCCGCCUCUACACUCAUUCUGCCACCUCCCUCUCCCGGUACCAUUUAUUUAUUAUUGUUGUUUUUUAUUUGAGCUAGAAUUUCAGAUUUUGGUACGUUGUUUGGAAGAAAAUGUGAUUUUUGUGGUAAUGAUGUAAGAUUUGUUAGUGAAUUUGGUUGGCUGAAAAGUGCAGGAGGUUGAGCGAUGAUUCGGUUGGAAGAAGGGUAAAAUGUGGGAAUUGUAUUAGAGCAACUGCAAAAGAACAAUCCAGCUCGAGUUCGGGGUUCGAGAAGCAGAAAGGGAAUUCACAGAAGUAUCAUCCGUUUGAGGAAAUUGCAGAGUCGGAGUUAUUAGAGAACGUGGAAGCCACUCUAUCGCCUGCUGAAACUACUAGAACCAUUAUUGAGGUAUCAGUAUAAAUGCAAGGGGAAAAUGUGAUUUUCAAUAAUUAUUGAUUUUCGACAGUUGAAAAUUGUCUAUAAAAUGUGAACUGUAUAAACCCUCAUUCAUUAAUACUGUUUGGAUAAUGUUAUUUUUCUAGGUAAAUAGCAAAGCAAUGAUGAUGUUUUCAGGCUUCGUGAGUGAUGAAAUUCAUGAAAACGUAUUCUGGCCAGAUUUACCUUAUGUAACUGAUGAACAUGGAAGUAAGAUAAUAAUCUUUUGUUUAUAAUUCUCAUGUUUAUUACGGGUAGCAAUUGUUUGGUUAAGCAGCAUUGUCGUUAAUACUUUUAUUUACUUAUUGUCAGAUAUAUACUUUCAAGUGAAGAAUGAUGAAGAUAUUUUGCAAACCUUAUCCACCGAGGAAAACAUUGUGGUAAGAUUUGUUCUAUAAAAUUGAUUCCGUUUAAUUAAUAAGUUAUUAUUUUGGGACACUAAAACUGUUUUUCUCCUAUGAAGUGUAAUACUCCUAUUGCUCGUCGUCUGUUAUGUUUUCUCCUAUAUAGGUCUAAUUAUUCCUAAAUUCUUUAAUGUUUUCUCUUUCUGGUGUUUAAUAUGUUAAAAAUUUCUGAUAUGGCAAACAUAAUGGUAUACAUCAUCUGUCUGCAGCUUGAAAAAAGUAAAAUUUUUUUAUCUUUUCUUCACUACAUGCAUUAUCCAACUUUAAAUGAUUGUUUUGAAGCCAUACUUGAUUUUAAAAAAUGCAGCAAGUUAUUAUUGGACUGGAUACUGCAGAGAUGAUUAGUGAGGUUGAGUUGCUAGGUCAUUCAGAAAUUGAUUUUGGCAUUGAUGAGUUAGAUGAUGAAGAUAGUGAUUUCCAUGAUGAAGAGGACGAUGACACUGAAAACGAUAACUAUGGAAAGGUGGUAACUUUUCCUUCAAUUCCCCCUUCAAGUUUCAGAUUGUAGUUUUCUGCAGUAUGUGGACAUUGAUAUUGUUCAUCUGCAGGACUGGGUUGGUGUUCUUGAUGAUGAAGAAGAAGAUCUGGAUGAGGACUCUGAUGGAUCCAUAGGGGACUGGGCUAAAUUGGAGACCAUGCGGUCUUCUCAUCCAAUGCAUUUUGCCAAAAAGCUAGUUGAGGUGACUCUCCUAAUCAAAUUUGCUACAUAGUGUAGUAUUAGAAAAGUAGAUCGAAAAAAGUGGAACAUGGAAUACCAUUCUACUAAAUUGACUUUCCGACUAAAAUUACUAUAAUAUUUUUGCCUUUAUUUUGUCAUCGUCAUAUUCCCUUCUCUAAUUUAAAAUGAAUCAAGUUAAUACACCAUCAUAUAUCCAUUUUUGUGAAUCUAUUUUUGUUACAGGUUGUGUCUGAUAAUCCAGAUGAAUAUAUGGAGCAGCCUUCUGCUGGUCUUGCCAUACAAGGCCUCCUAAGACCUGCAUUUAUUGAAGAACACUCUGUCAUCCAGAACCAUAAAUCUAGUGGUGCUGAUACUAAUUACAUUUCUGAAGAACAAAUUCAAGAAGCCAUUUUUCAGAUCAAUGGUCACAAACCCGAAAAUGAAACUAUGCAAGGUAGCCCAAAUUUGGCAGGGGAAUUGGAGAAGGAUGAAAUGCUGGGAAAUGGAACUUUAUUUUACAAGCUAGAGAUGAUUAAAAUUCAGUUAGUUUCAUCACAUGGACAUCCGGUACUUUUGAUUUUUCUUUGAGAAUCUCAAGAUUGCAUGGUGCUCUCAUUUCUUCUGACCUUUACUUCUUCAUAUUUAAACUUUUUUGGUUCUCAUACUUGAGAAAGCUGCUGAAUCUACUCUAUUUUCUGCCUCUUUUGUAACUCUGCAUGUUCACAACUAUGUUUUGAUAGCAAUCCUAAAGUUGGCAGAAGUCAUCCAUGCCAUUUAGUGAAAUUUCUUUCAGCAUAUAUAUGUUCCAUGUACACAAUAUAGUUAUCUGUGGCGUGUUUAUUUCAUCUAAUAUUAGAAUGGAGAUGAAAAGUUUUGCUUGAUUCCUCUUCUUUUUCUUAAAAUACUCUGCUUUCAUGUCCUUGCAAUUGUUUACUAUCAGAAAUGAUACGUAGGGACCUGAAAAGGAGUUGUAGAGGAUAGAUGAGGAAAAGAAGAUGAAGGAAAUUAUGCUAUCAAUUUUCCCAUUACCCCAUGUUGAAUGAAAAACGUUUAUUUCUCUUUCUGAAAGCAGUGGGCUUUAAAUGGCAAACAACGAUUGGGAUGAGAAUAUCCCCCAAAUAGUAGGGGGCAGCCUUCCGUUUGAUACUAAUAGAUAUAUCUUUUGUACUCAAGGUCCAUCUCAAAUAUCGUAAAUAUCAACACCUCAAAUGAUGAACCUUCUUAUCAUUAGGGCAUGUUCUUAACUUGAACCAACUGUUUGACUUGAGAAAUAACUUGACUCUGUGUUUGCAAGUAUGCUGCUGCAAUGACUUGGCUGUACAAAUUUGACAUCCCAGACUUUGUGUCAGAUGUAUUUGAACAAAUAUAGAUUGUAAUGUACUUGACAGUUGCCUUUCUAUGCUACGUAUACUGAUGCGAUUAAAUUUCAAAUAGUAUUACGCAUUGAAUGCACCACUUUGAGGUGGUCUAUCCUUUUGCUAUUAGGAUGGGAAAGCAUAAAUUACUUUUUUUGUUCUGUUUGUGCUUUCUACAGAAUUUUGUUGAUAUAGAAGAUUUUAUGAAAGCUCAACCUGAUGCAAUAGUACAUUCAGCUGCAAAAAUUAUAUCUCGUGUCAAAUCUGGUGGAGAAAAGACUACACAAGCUCUCAAAUCUCUGUGCUGGAGAUGCAAGGGUAUUCAAGUGGAGGUGACACAAUGGAGUUAUAUUAAUCUGUAAUUGUAUCAUGCCUGUUAACUUGAAGUAAACUUUGCAUUGUUUGUAACUUGGAAAAUUGACAUGAAAAUAAGAUUAUAAUUUCACCCAUUCUUUGGUGACAUUUACAGCAUGAAGAAAGUGAGAGGAAUCAAUAUCUACUUCUCCUCACCCAUCUCUUCAUGAACAAGGCCUUUUAAACUUAUUCCCUCCUGGAAACUUAGUACUUACUUUUGCGAGAUUAAUUUGUUAAGAAUUUAAAUUGUGUAUGAAAAGUUACGUUCAUAAUAUUGGACCCUCAUCCAGUUGACGUUCUAUAUACUCUCUUGCAAUAUAUUGUCUUGGAAUACAAGAGAAGGCCAUCUAACAUAUUAAGAGAGAGUCAGAAAAGUUAUUUUUCUGCAAGCAAGUUCUUUUGCUAAUUUUAUAUAUUGAAUUUGUGACAGGAGGUGGCUCUUAUAGGUGUAGACAGCCUUGGUUUUGACUUAAGAAUUUGCUGUGGAACACAAGUACAAACAUUGCGUUUUGCAUUUAAGAAGAGGGUAUAUACUUUUUGUUCUUUACUUUUAUAUUCCAUCAAUUUCAUAUGCUCGUACUCAUCUUGGACCCAUGUGUUUGCAAUGAAAGAACAAUCUCUCUUAUCGUGAUGCAUGGCCUGGACUAUAUACAAAAUAGUGAAAAUUACCUUUUUAUAUAUCUCUCUCCUCUCCCUCUUUAACAAGUUGAUUUCCAGGCCUCUUCGGAGUAUAGCGCUGAAAGACAGUUGAAUGAUCUACUGUUUCCAAGAGUCCACAAGUUUCAACAAAAGAAAGAAUCUCAACAGACUGAAUCAUAACAUAUAGGUAUUCAAGUUCAUUUCUGUUUGUUCACCUCGUGUGCAUGUUUUAAAAGUUGUAUGCGAACAGCACAAGGGGAAUUCUUUUCUUGUUACCAGUUUCCUUGUAUCUUAACUGCUAGGUGAUUACUUUUAUUCUCUCUAUUUUAUCCCGGCCUCAACUGUAUAAGCUGAAUUUUGGUUUUGAUUGUGCUAUUCUAAAGGCAUCCACUGUUUACGCUGCUUAUGUACUUCUUGAGACUGAUAUUAACCUAUUGUCUCGUUACACAACUGAGGUGCAUGACUUGUGUUCUUGAAUGACUCAAUUUGAGGGCGAGGGAGGAGCUGGGUAACUUGAGGUCCGAAGGGGGCUUGCUGGUUUUAUUUAUUUUUUUAAUCAAGGUUAUAAUUUUCAUUUCAAAUUGUUAUUAUCACUAAAACGUGGCCAAUUAACCUUUUGUUACACAAAAUUAGGUGGUGGGA
rnacentral:lncRNA from 1 species